AAUUUAGCAGAGAUGCUUUAGUGCCUUCGGGAACUCUGAGACAGGUGCUGCAUGGCUGUCGUCAGCUCGUGUUGUGAAAUGUUGGGUUAAGUCCCGCAACGAGCGCAACCCUUAUCCUUUGUUGCCAGCACGUAAUGGUGGGAACUCAAAGGAGACUGCCGGUGAUAAACCGGAGGAAGGUGGGGAUGACGUCAAGUCAUCAUGGCCCUUACGAGUAGGGCUACACACGUGCUACAAUGGCGCAUACAAAGAGAAGCGACCUCGCGAGAGCAAGCGGACCUCAUAAAGUGCGUCGUAGUCCGGAUUGGAGUCUGCAACUCGACUCCAUGAAGUCGGAAUCGCUAGUAAUCGUAAAUCAGAAUGUUACGGUGAAUACGUUCCCGAGCCUUGUACACACCGCCCGUCACACCAUGGGAGUGGGUUGCAAAAGAAGUAGAUAGCUUAACCUUCGGGAGGGCGUUUACCACUUUGUGAUUCAUGACUGGGGUGAAGUCGUAACAAGGUAAGCGUAGUGCU
rnacentral:rRNA from 1 species